rnacentral:rRNA from 1 species
GAUGAACGCUGGCGGCGUGCUUAACACAUGCAAGUCGAACGGAAAGGCUCCUGCUUGCAGGGGUACUCGAGUGGCGAACGGGUGAGUAACACGUGGGUGAUCUGCCCUGCACUUCGGGAUAAGCCUGGGAAACUGGGUCUAAUACCGGAUAGGACGAUGGUUUGGAUGCCAUUGUGGAAAGUUUUUCGGUGUGGGAUGAGCUCGCGGCCUAUCAGCUUGUUGGUGGGGUAAUGGCCUACCAAGGCGUCGACGGGUAGCCGGCCUGAGAGGGUGUACGGCCACAUUGGGACUGGGAUAAGGCCCAGACUCCUACGGGAGGCAGCAGUGGGGGAUAUUGCACAAUGGGCGCAAGCCUGAUGCAGCGACGCCGCGUGGGGGAUGACGGCCUUCGGGUUGUAAACUCCUUUCGCUAGGGACGAAGCGUUUUGUGACGGUACCUGGAGAAGAAGCACCGGCUAACUACGUG